GUAGGACUGAAACAGGAGAACACAGGUGAACGUCGCCCAGGUGAACACAGGUGAACGUCGCCCAGGUGAACACAGGUGAACGUCGCCCAGGUGAACACAGGUGAACGUCGCCCAGGUGAACACAGGUGAACGUCGCCCAAGUGAACACAGGUGAACGUCGCCCAAGUGAACACAGGUGAACGUCGCCCAGGUGAACACAGGUGAACGUCGCCCAAGUGAACACAGGUGAACGUCGCCCAGGUGAACACAGGUGAACGUCGCCCAGGUGAACGUCGCCCAGGUGAACACAGGUGAACGUCGCCCAGGUGAACGUCGCCCAGGUGAACACAGGUGAACGUCGCCCAGGUGAACGUCGCCCAAGUGAACACAGGUGAACGUCGCCCAGGUGAACACAGGUGAACGUCGCCCAGGUGAACGUCGCCCAAGUGAACACAGGUGAACGUCGCCCAGGUGAACACAGGUGAACGCCGCCCAAGUGAACACAGGUGAACGUCAGUCAGGAGAACACAGGUGAACGUCGCCCAGGUGAACACAGGUGAACGUCAGUCAGGAGAACACAGGUGAACGUCGCCCAGGUGAACGUCGCCCAGGUGAACGUCGCCCAGGUGAACGCCGCCCAAGUGAACACAGGUGAACGUCAGUCAGGAGAACACAGGUGAACGUCAGUCAGGAGAACACAGGUGAACGUCAGUCAGGAGAACACAGGUGAACGUCAGUCAGGAGAACACAGGUGAACGUCAGUCAGGAGAACACAGGUGAACGUCGCCCAGGUGAACACAGGUGAACGUCGCCCAGGUGAACACAGGUGAACGUCGCCCAGGUGAACGCCGCCCAAGUAAACACAGGUGAACGUCGCCCAGGUGAACGUCGCCCAGGUGAACGUCGCCCAGGUGAACGUCGCCCAAGUGAACACAGGUGAACGCCGCCCAAGUGAACACAGGUGAACGCCGCCCAAGUGAACGUCGCCCAGGUAAACGUCGCCCAGGUAAACGUCGCCCAGGUGAACGUCGCCCAGGUAAACGCCGCCCAAGUGAACACAGGUAAACGCCGCCCAAGUGAACACAGGUGAACGCCGCCCAGGUAAACGUCGCCCAGGUGAACGUCGCCCA